AGAGAUAAGAUUGUCUUUGGCGGGAGAUCGACUCCAGGGAGGAAGUCGUCCAGAGAAUCAAGUCCAUGAAAAUCUUAUGGUGUUCCAAUCCAGUGUCUCUACUUUUUUUUUUCUAUCAGUUGUAUUUUCUUUUUGUUUUGAUCGAUAAAAAACUGGUGCCACUUAAAGAAUCGUCGUCGACGAAUUUCGAUCUCAGAUCACUAAUAUUAUCACCCGAUGAUUUUAUUAUUUUAUACCAGCUAUAUUUAGUGGGAAUUAUAUAAAUAUUUCUUGUUUUGAUGGGCUUCGUAAAUACCCUUAUAUAGCCUUAUCUGACCGGGGAAAAUCCGAUCAAUCAUUAGUACCCAUUCUACCCUCCCUGUAUAGUUAGAUCUAAUAUUGUUUCGGGCGAUUAAAAAUCAUCGGUCUUCUUCUUCUAAUGUUCUACCUCUCCUGAACGCCAGUGACCACCACCGUCUUCAUCGUCGCCACCACUAUUCUAGCAGCACCUCCACUUCCGCCACCACUUCAGAAGCAGAUCAUUGUUCAUCUCCUCCUUCAUUUUGUUUCCUAUCUUCGAUAUAAGAUCAGUUACAGAGAGAUCGAGAGUUUCAAUUUAGGGUUGUUUUUGAUAGUUUUCAAUUUUUAGGGUUCGUAAUCUGCUCGUUUUCGAUUAUUUUAUUGAAGAUCGUGUUGAUUAGUGAUUCUGGCCGCCAUGAAGAUUAAAGAGUGGUGGUGGAGCAGGUGGUGGAAAUAACCGAGGUGAUAGUGGUGGAGAUCGUGGUAGUGUAGGAAGAUGUGUUUUAUUACAGUAGAGAAGAUAGUGAUGAGCUAAGAGAGCUUGUAAAGAUUACUAUAGUCAUUUUCCUAGUAGAUUUUGCAUUUUCUAAAGCAAACAAUAACAGGUAUCAUCCAGGCUAGAGGACUGGAUAUGAAUUCAACCGUCGACGUUGCACCUUUGGCGCGUUUUUCAGAAAAUAGCUUGAAUCAUGUACAGUAGAUGAUUAUUGAGUUUAGGUUAAUGGGAUGGGAUCCCUGGAAAUGCACUACAAUUUAUGGAUACGAUGCUAUUAGUGACUGUAAUUAAACUUGAAUCCUCAAGGUGGAAUUUUUCUCUUUAUUCACUACUCCACAGACAUGCAAAAGCAAUUAUGCUAUUCCGAGCCAACUUUGUAAAGAUGAGAGGUUAACAAGAUUGUUGAUGCCACUGACGGCUUCGGUGGUGGUGGCGAGUGGUGGUGGACUGGUGGUGG